rnacentral:rRNA from 1 species
UACGGAGGGUCCGAGCGUUGUCCGGAAUUACUGGGCGUAAAGAGCUCGUAGGUGGUUUGUCGCGUUGUUCGUGAAAACUCACAGCUCAACUGUGGGCGUGCGGGCGAUACGGGCAGACUGGAGUACUGCAGGGGAGACUGGAAUUCCUGGUGUAGCGGUGAAAUGCGCAGAUAUCAGGAGGAACACCGGUGGCGAAGGCGGGUCUCUGGGCCGAUACUGACGCUGAGGAGCGAAAGCGUGGGGAGCGAACAGG